AUUGAACGCUGGCGGCAUGCCUUACACAUGCAAGUCGAACGGUACGGGCCUUCGGGUGCCGACGAGUGGCGAACGGGUGAGUAAUACAUCGGAACGUGCCCGAUCGUGGGGGAUAACGAGGCGAAAGCUUUGCUAAUACCGCAUACGAUCUACGGAUGAAAGCAGGGGACCGCAAGGCCUUGCGCGGACGGAGCGGCCGAUGGCAGAUUAGGUAGUUGGUGGGAUAAAAGCUUACCAAGCCGACGAUCUGUAGCUGGUCUGAGAGGAUGAUCAGCCACACUGGGACUGAGACACGGCCCAGACUCCUACGGGAGGCAGCAGUGGGGAAUUUUGGACAAUGGGCGCAAGCCUGAUCCAGCCAUGCCGCGUGCAGGAUGAAGGCCUUCGGGUUGUAAACUGCUUUUGUACGGAACGAAAAGCCUUCUUUUAAUACAGGAGGGUCAUGACGGUACCGUAAGAAUAAGCACCGGCUAACUACGUG
rnacentral:rRNA from 1 species